AAAGUGUGCUUUAACACGUCAAAUUUGGCCUUGAAUAACUUUGUCAAUUUAUUGUUCAAUUUAUUGUUGAUGUAAAGUGGACUUUUUAGUAAAUCUCUCAGCGGCUGGCUUCCAGCGGUGACGUCUGACAGCUACUGCUGGCUCAGCUAUCCAGCCGCUGUGGUCGUCCGAACGCACCCAAUUAUUACUAUUCGAAUUGCAAAAACAAGAGAUUAUUUAAAAUAUUACUAUUAAUUUUGUACAAUUGUAUCAGUACAUAAUAAGAAAUUUGAUAUAAAUACUAUAUAUGGUAGAAAUUGUCUGAUAUAAUACAUAAAUAUAAUUUCGAUAUACAAACUUCCAAAGAGAUAUUUAGGUUAACAGCCGUAAUGUGAGGUUACGACUGUCAAGGACUUCGUAAAUGUAAACAAAAGUUGCAAAGCCGGCCAAAGCCAGAAUUUGCUCAAUCUCAAAGCCUUUUUAAUUCCUAUAAAGUUGAAAUGUUGCUUCCUCUGCAGCUUUGUCUGCUUAAGUAUAGUGUUUUUAACAUAAUACCACCAUAAUUCGGUCUUAAAUUUCUAUGAAAUACAGUUUUUUAGUGAUACUCACCAAGCAAAGUUUACAAACUUGUGAAUGUGAACUAUUCUAUUUUGUAUAAUAAAAAUGGUAAUGUGCUUUGUCCCGGAUUGUACAAAAUAUUGUGUUGUGAAAGAGGGAUAUGUAGAUUCUUUGUUGUUCCAAAAGAUCUGGUUGCAAAGAAGAAUUUCAUUACUAAGGCACCCAGGAGAAGGGCAUGGCCCUAACUUUCAAAUAUGAGUAUUAUAGAAAAUUAACAGUUCCCCAGGCAACCAUUCAAUGAGAAUCGUAGAAAAAGUAACAGUUCCCUAGGCAACUAUCCAAUGAAAAUCUUAAGGCCAUAAUGAAUUGUAUCACCCGAAUGUCAUACUCUAGGGGUGAGCAAGUCUCUCAGGCUGGGUUAAUUCACUAUUGCCUAUUUGCAAGAGCAAUUGUCAACAUUUCUACAGUUCCACAGGUGACCAUAUUGUCUCUUUUUGGACAUACCAUCUGACACCCUCUGAAGAAGAUCUUGGGGUGUAAAUAACCCAGGACAGCACCGGAAGAAGCCGUCAGACCACAAGCUAAAUUUCUUAUUAAAAUCUAUAUCUUGCCUAUAAACAGAGACAAACUAUUUUUAUAUAAAAUAACUUUAUUAGUUCUAAAAUGUAGAUCUUGAAUUGUGACCAUAAUAAAAUGAGAAAAUAAAGUGUUUAUACCGAA
rnacentral:lncRNA from 1 species